GCCUAACAGCUAGCCCACCCAAGAAAUUUCAACUAACCCCUAUUAAUAACCCCUAAGUACCCCAGUAUUUAAAUUAACAAACCAUUUUCCCCCCUUAGUACAGGCGAUAGAAAGGGGCCUACGGCGCGAUAGAGAAAGUACCGCAAGGGAAUGCUGAAAAAGAAAUGAAAUAAUCCAGUAAAGCCCAGAAAAGCAGAGAUUCAACCUCGUACCUUUUGCAUCAUGAUUUAGCAAGUGUACCCCAAGCAAAGAGAACUUUAGUUUGGCGUCCCGAAACUACGUGAGCUACUCCAAGACAGCCUAUUAAUAGGGCACACCCGUCUCUGUGGCAAAAGAGUGGGGAGAGCUUUGAGUAGAGGUGAUAAACCUACCGAACCUAGUUAUAGCUGGUUGUCCAAGAAAUGAAUAGAAGUUCAGCCUCUUGGCUUCUCUUUUCACCCUAGUUUAACCCCUAUCGAUGCAUUAAGGAACCAAGAGAGUUAGUCAAAGGGGGUACAGCCCCUUUGAAUCAAGACACAACUUUACCAGGAGAGU
rnacentral:rRNA from 1 species